ACGGGAGGCAGCAGUGGGGAAUAUUGCACAAUGGGCGAAAGCCUGGUGCAGCGACGCCGCGUGAGUGAUGAAGUAUUUCGGUAUGUAAAGCUCUAUCAGCAGGGAAGAUAAUGACGGUACCUGACUAAGAAGCACCGGCUAAAUACGUGCCAGCAGCCGCGGUAAUACGUAUGGUGCAAGCGUUAUCCGGAUUUACUGGGUGUAAAGGGAGCGCAGGCGGUACGGCAAGUCUGAUGUGAAAGCCCGGGGCUCAACCCCGGUACUGCAUUGGAAACUGUCGAACUAGAGUGUCGGAGGGGUAAGUGGAAUUCCUAGUGUAGCGGUGAAAUGCGUAGAUAUUAGGAGGAACACCAGUGGCGAAGGCGGCUUACUGGACGAUAACUGACGCUGAGGCUCGAAAGCGUGGGGAGCAAACAGGAUUAGAUACCCUGGUA
rnacentral:rRNA from 1 species